ensembl:lncRNA
UGUCAGUGGAAAGCGUGGAGGUAACAUGAUUUGUACCACAUUGGGAUUAUAAACAAAAGCCUCUCAUUGAGCCCUUUGCACAAACAGCCGUGGUUUGCAGCUGCAGCCCUGAUGCAUUCAGAUUUCUGAAAACUUGGAAAAGGGUACAAGGGAGCACGUGCAGAAUAUUAUUUUACUUCAGAAAUAUUAAAAUUCAUUGUGGUAAGCAUCAAUGAAUCUGCAUUUGGAAACAAAAGGCAACUUUCAGAAGCCAUUGUCCAACUGCCAGGGAUUGCAAUAUGGAAGGUGCGUGGCAGCUGCUUUUUCAGACAAGCACGUGAGUCUGACACAAAGGCAGCAGGAUCUGUACCUGGAAGUAGCAGUGACUGAGGAAAUGGAAAAGGUGGUGGAAGAUGUCUGUCAUACACAUCUGAACCUGUGAGCUCUUAGGCAGGGAUGGAAAUGUCGGCAUCAUCCAGCUUCCAGAGAUCCAAUGCUGCUGUGGUGAGAGCAGCACCCCAGGGUGCUGAGCUCUGCUGAGAGAGCAAUGCUGGGCCUGCUGCUGCACAGCCUGCGUGGGCACGGCCCUUACUAGGGCUUCAAUGAAUGCCUUAGGUUGGAAGGGACCUCAAGGAUCAUGAAGCUCCAACCCCCCUGCUGCAUGCAGGGCCACCAGCCUCCAUAUCUAAUACUAGACCAGGCUGCCCAGGGCCCCAUCCAACCUGGCCUUGAACACCUCCAGGGGUGGAUGGGGCAUCCACAGCCUCUCUGGGCAGCUGUUCAGCACCUCACCACUCUCACAGUAAAGAACUUCCCCGACAUCCAACCUAAAUCUGCCCUCCUUCAACUUCGAACCAUUUCCCCUUGUCCUGCUGUUAUCUCCCCUUCCAAAGAGUUGCCUCCCCUCCUGUUUGUAGGCUCCCUGUAGGUCCUGGAAGGCUGCACUGAGGUCACCCCGCAGCCUUCUCUUCCCCAGGCUGAACAAGCCCAGCUCCCUCAGCCUGUCGUUGUUGGGGAGGUGCUGCAGCCCUCUGAGC